GACGAACGCUGGCGGCGUGCUUAACACAUGCAAGUCGAACGAUGAAGCCUAGCUUGCUGGGUGGAUUAGUGGCGAACGGGUGAGUAACACGUGAGUAACCUGCCCUGGACUCUGGGAUAAGCGUUGGAAACGACGUCUAAUACCGGAUAGGACCUUUCACCGCAUGGUGGGGGGUGGAAAGUUUUUUCGGUUUGGGAUGGACUCGCGGCCUAUCAGCUUGUUGGUGAGGUAAUGGCUCACCAAGGCGUCGACGGGUAGCCGGCCUGAGAGGGUGACCGGCCACACUGGGACUGAGACACGGCCCAGACUCCUACGGGAGGCAGCAGUGGGGAAUAUUGCACAAUGGGCGCAAGCCUGAUGCAGCAACGCCGCGUGCGGGAUGACGGCCUUCGGGUUGUAAACCGCUUUUAGUAAGGAAGGAGCCUUCGGGUGACGGUACUUGCAGAAAAAGGACCGGCUAACUACGUGCCAGCCGCCGCAGUAAGAC
rnacentral:rRNA from 1 species